CCGAGGCUCCGAAGUGACAGGUGGAAUAGCAGCCCGGGCUUCGGACCUCAGGCCUCAGUUUAUUCUCUGGGAGGGGACGCUCUCUCUCUGCGUCCUUGUGAAAAUGAUCUUGUCUUUAAACCCUGCGUGGCAAUCCUUGAUGCACCGCCGUGAUGCCCAGGGAAGACAGGGCAACCUGGAAGUCCAACUACUUCUUUAAGAUCAUCCAGCUUUUGGAUGAUUAUCCGAAAUGUUUCAUUGUGGGAACAGCAAUGUGGGCUCCAAGCAGAUGCAGCAGAUCCGCAUGUCCCUCCGAGAGAAGGCUGUGGUGCUGAUGGACAAGAACGGCCUGAUGCGCACGGCCAUCUGAGGGCACCUGGAAGACAACCCAGCUCUGGAGUAACUGUUGCCUCAUAUCUGGGGGAAUGUGGGCUUUGCGUUUACCAAGGAGGACCUCACUGAAAUCAGGGAUAUGUUGCUGGCUAGUAAGGUGCCAGCUGCCACCUGUGCUCGUCCCGUUGCCCCAUGUGAAGUCACUGUGCCAGCCCAGAACACUGGUCUGGGGCCUGAGAAGACCUCCUUUUUCCAGGCUUUAGGAAUCACCACUAAAAUCUCCAAGGGGCACCACUGAAAUCCUGAGUGAUGUGCAGCUGAUCAAGACUGGAGACAAAGUGGGAACCACGCUGCUGAACACGCUGAACCUCUCUCCCUUCUCCUUUGGGCUGGUCAACCAGCAGGUGUCUGACAGUGGCAGCAUCUACAACCCUGAAGUGCUUGACAUCACAGAGGAAACUGCAUUCUUGCUUCCUGGAGGGUGUCCGCGACGUUGCCAGUGUCUGUCUGCAGAUUGGCUACCCACCUGUUGCAUCAGUGCCCCAUUCUAUCAUCAGUGGGUACAAACGAGUCCUGGCUCUGUCUGUGGAGACUGAUUACACCUUCCUACUUGCUGGAAAGGUCAAGGCCUUCUUGGCUGAUCCAUCUGCUUUUGUGGCUGUUGCCUCUGUGGCUGCCACCACCACAGCUGCUCCUGCUACUGUAGCCCCACUGAGGUUGAAGCCAAGGAAGAGUUGGAGGAGCUGGAUGAGGAUGUGGGAUUUGGUCUCUUUGACUAAUCAUCAAAAAGCAACCAACUCAGCCAACUUUAUUUGCAAAACAAGGAAAUAAAGGCUUAAAUUCUUAAAAAAAAUAAAAAAAUAAAAAAGAAAGGUUGGACCAGGACAGGAGUAAGAACAGAGGCAAUUGGCCAAUACUGAUGACAUUCCCUAUAUGCAAUGCACCAUGCCCACCCAGAGAAAGACAUCACACUUACUAAAACUGGCCCAUUUCACAGACAGAUUGAGAGAGGCAGAGGAGUGAUUGUGCCCAAGAAUCUUACACUGGGGUGAGAGCUAAGCCUCUCUUGCCACCUACAGCUCUCAUCUCUAGGUUUGUCAUCUCUCAGAGGAAAGGCAGGAGAGAGAACUGACAAGAUUGGACCUUCUGAGUGGAAAGAGAUUUUUAGAGCUGGAAGGAAUCUUAGAAAUGACCAAAAGUUUGACAGAUUCAAGAGCUCAGGUAACUUGCUAAGAUCACAGAACAAAUCUUUGCUCCAGUGGGGACUAAGCUCUGGGUUUCUUGAAGAUGGACACAGGUAAAUUUGAUCCAAAAUGGCACUUCAAAGAGAAACAUACACGGACUGAUGGUGUUCCACCUUUAUUUAUUUAUUUUUUUUUUGAGAUGGAGUCUCAUUCCGUCUCCCAGGCUGGAGGCAAUAGCGUGAACUCAGCUUACUGCAACCUCCACCUCCUGGUUCAAGCAAUUCUCAUGCCUUAGCCACCUGAGUAGUUGGGAUUACAGGCAUGCGCCGCCGUGCCUUGCUGAUAUUUGUGUUUUUGGUAGAGACAGGGUUUCACCAUGAUGGUCAGGCUGAUCUCAAACUCCUGACCUCAUGAUCUGCCCGCCUUGGCCUCCCAAAGUGUUGGGAUUACAGGCGUGAGCCACCACGCCCAGUUUGUUUUCCACUUCUAAGUCCCAGAUGGUUCCUCCUGGGGUUCUAGAGGGGCUUGGAAUGGGACGACAAGCAACAUCUUCCUCCCGAGCAUCUACAGGAGCCUUGAUUGCCUCUCUCCUCCCCGAGGGAUCAGUGUUGGCCACACAACCUUGCCCAUGCCUCCACUUCUGCUCAGCUCUCAGUACGCAGAGGGUGGCUGGAGCUGGGGCCACAGAUGGACGUACAGCUGGGCAGCUCAGCACUCUCAUCUGUGCCUUAUCAGCUGGGGGGCUGUGGUGGCAUGAAGCUGGUGGGAGGCUGGCACUUGCCCAGGAUUCUCGGAGCCCUUGUGCUCAUCACUUCAUGAGUUCAGGCUGCGUGGGGACAGCUUGCUUCAAGUCCACAGUCAGGCGCAACCCUAACUCAGUCUGCCCUGCAAAGGCGGGCCCAGCCCCUGAUCCACAUGAACUGCCGGAAGAAAAAUCCAAAGGGAAAGUCAGUGAAGACAUUUGUGGAAAGAACUGUGGAAGAAGGAAUAAGAACCUACCAUUUUUCCUGCCAGUGUCUGCUAAUAAGUAAUAAUAAAAUAACAAUGAUAACUCAUAAUG
rnacentral:lncRNA from 1 species